UACGUAGGAUGCAAGCGUUGUUCGGAAUUACUGGGCGUAAAGAGUACGUAGGCGGUUUGAUAAGUCUGCUAUUAAAGACUGGAGCUUAACUCCAGGACUGUAGUGGAAACUGUCAGACUAGAGGACAAUAGAGGAAGUCGGAAUUCUCAGUGUAGCGGUGAAAUGCGCAGAUAUCGAGAGGAACACCUGCGGCGAAGGCGGGUAGCUGGGCCGACACUGACGCUGGAGGCGCGAAAGCCCAGGGGAGCGAACGGG
rnacentral:rRNA from 1 species